AUUGAACGCUGGCGGCAUGCUUUACACAUGCAAGUCGAACGGUAACAGGCCGCAAGGUGCUGACGAGUGGCGAACGGGUGAGUAAUGCAUCGGAACGUGCCCAGUCGUGGGGGAUAACUACUCGAAAGAGUAGCUAAUACCGCAUACGAUCUAUGGAUGAAAGCGGGGGACCGUAAGGCCUCGCGCGAUUGGAGCGGCCGAUGUCAGAUUAGGUAGUUGGUGGGGUAAAGGCUCACCAAGCCAACGAUCUGUAGCUGGUCUGAGAGGACGACCAGCCACACUGGGACUGAGACACGGCCCAGACUCCUACGGGAGGCAGCAGUGGGGAAUUUUGGACAAUGGGCGCAAGCCUGAUCCAGCAAUGCCGCGUGCAGGAAGAAGGCCUUCGGGUUGUAAACUGCUUUUGUACGGAACGAAACGGCUCUGGUUAAUACCCGGGGCUAAUGACGGUACCGUAAGAAUAAGUACCGGCUAACUACGUG
rnacentral:rRNA from 1 species